rnacentral:misc_RNA from 1 species
GGAUCCUCUUUGAAGCACAGAGUAGUUCCUUUAUUCAAUAACCUGGUUGUCAAUGAAACAUCUGAUGAGGUGGAAGCUGAAUUUCUUGAUCAUCAAUAUAUUUUGCCUCGAGAAAGUUGUUUCUACAUGCUAAAGCUAGUUCUGGCUUCAGUCUUAUUGUUAUUGAUCCACCAUGGGAAAAUGGAAGCGCUCAACAAAAAUCGAAGUAUCCUACAUUGCCAA